rnacentral:rRNA from 1 species
CGGGACGGGUGAAGUAUGUCUAGGGAAACUGCCGAUGGAGGGGGAUAACUACUGGAAACGGUAGCUAAUACCGCAUAACGUCGCAAGACCAAAGAGGGGGACCUUCGGGCCUCUUGCCAUCGGAUGUGCCCAGAUGGGAUUAGCUAGUAGGUGGGGUAACGGCUCACCUAGGCGACGAUCCCUAGCUGGUCUGAGAGGAUGACCAGCCACACUGGAACUGAGACACGGUCCAG